GAUCAUGGCUCAGGAUGAACGCUAGCUACAGGCUUAACACAUGCAAGUCGAGGGGCAGCAUUAGGUAGCAAUACUGAGAUGGCGACCGGCGCACGGGUGCGUAACGCGUAUCCAACCUUCCCGUUACUCUCGGAUAGCCUUCCGAAAGGGAGAUUAAUACGAGAUGGUGUUGAAAUUCCGCAUGUUAUUUCAACUAAAGAUUCAUCGGUAACGGAUGGGGAUGCGUGACAUUAGGUAGAUGGCGGGGUAACGGCCCACCAUGCCCACGAUGUCUAGGGGUUCUGAGAGGAAGGUCCCCCACACUGGAACUGAGACACGGUCCAGACUCCUACGGGAGGCAGCAGUGAGGAAUAUUGGUCAAUGGUCGGAAGACUGAACCAGCCAAGUAGCGUGAAGGAUGAAGGUUCUAUGGAUUGUAAACUUCUUUUAUACGGGAAUAAAACCACCUACGUGUAGGUGCUUGUAUGUACCGUAUGAAUAAGCAUCGGCUAACUCCGUG
rnacentral:rRNA from 1 species